rnacentral:rRNA from 1 species
UACGUAGGGGCUAGCGUUGUCCGGAAUCAUUGGGCGUAAAGAGCGCGUAGGCGGCCAGAUAAGUCCGGUGUGAAAGUCACAGGCUCAACCUGUGAAUGCCGCUGGAAACUGUCUGGCUAGAGUCCGGAAGGGCGAGUGGAAUUCCUGGUGUAGCGGUAAAAUGCGCAGAUAUCAGGAGGAACACCAAUGGCGAAGGCAGCUCGCUGGGACGGUACUGACGCUGAGGCGCGAAAGCGUGGGGAGCAAACAGG